AAUCAACGCUGGCGGCGUGCCUAACACAUGCAAGUCGAACGCGAAAGCCCCGCAAGGGGCAAGUAGAGUGGCAAACGGGUGAGUAACACGUGGGUGACCUGCCUCAAAGUGGGGGAUAACGACUCGAAAGGGUCGCUAAUACCGCAUAAUAUCCUGCCUUUGGAUAGGUGGAGAUCAAAGCCGGGGAUCGCAAGACCUGGCGCUGGGAGAGGGGCCCGCGGCCGAUUAGCUAGUGGUGAGGUAACGGCUCACCAAGGCAACGAUCGGUAUCCGGCCUGAGAGGGCGGACGGACACACUGGGACUGAGACACGGCCCAGACUCCUACGGGAGGCAGCAGUGGGGAAUUGUUCGCAAUGGGCGAAAGCCUGACGACGCAACGCCG
rnacentral:rRNA from 1 species